ensembl:lncRNA
ACCAAGGAGUCAUAACCUCCAAGACAUUUUAUUUUGACAGAAAAUUUGUGACAAAUCCAUCAGAAAUGGGAUCAGGAAUUUUUGGUCUCCCAGUCCCCAGUCCUGAUUUUUAAUUCCCAAUUCCAAAGUUCUAUACUAACAUCCAAACUAUAGCUUGACUUUUAAAUUUACCCCACUCCUUGGGAAGAGAAGUGCAGGCAGGCAGCUGUUUCCAGGAGAUCAGAAGAAGGUAAAUGAAUACUCAAGAUUUACAGCGUCAAAGGCUAUGUUGAGGAUAAUUCUUAUGACUUUGUAAAAGACAAGGUACUGAAAACCAAGAAAUGAAGGCUGUCAUCCUCCCCAUGGCUCCUAAAAGAGUUUUGGAACCUCUCUUUUAUGUCACUACAUUGCUGGUCUAGCUUCCUAAGGCAUUGAGCUGCUAGGCUGUACCAUACAGUUUUACAAAAAUAUACAUCAACAUAUUUCUCACCCUCUUGUCCUACCUCUCACCCUUCUGAAUUACUUUUUCCUCUUAGUUUGAGUCCAGGUUAUUUUUAACUAACUGUAGGUAUUCUUUAUUAUUAUUAUUUUUUGCACCAUGAUCACUGGAAAUGUGCAGGGUGUAGCUAUAAAAAUGACUGGACAAAUUUGCAAACAGAUGUAUCAUUAUAUGUAUAUGUACAUGUAUACAACAUGAUCCCUCAAUGAGGUAACCUAAGGAGGCUGAAAAGUUCUCCUAAAGAUGCUGCCUUGGCAAAGAUAUUUUAAAAAGUCCUUCUUGGGUAAUGGUGCCAGGCCCGGAUGUGAAACCCAAUCCACUGUUUAUGUCACUAGAAUUUCAUCUUGUUUGGGUCUGAUGUUGUGCCACAUUAAAGGUAGUCACCUCACUUGGUUUGCUAGAUCUGAACCCAAAUGAUGUCUGGCUAGUCAUCCGAAAGGGACAAGGAUUUUCACCACAGAGAGUCUGUUGUAGUACAAUUCCGUGGCAGAGCUCAGGCAAACCUCCCAUCACUGGCUCAGUCCUGGCAUAGCAUGUGGCUCUGCAAACUGCCUAUGCUGAAGGUGUACUCGCUGUGGUCACUCUGUCCUCUGUGCUCCCACCACCCUGGGUCCGGUCACUCACAGAAUGACUGAAGCAUGCUGCAGUGGAGAACUGGAAAUGUAUCUCUUGUUGCCCUCUAUCUCCACCCACCCUCCAGACUGGGGCCCAGAAUGCCCACGUCCAGCACUGUUGUAGACGGGAGGUCUGUCGCACUAAAGUGCUGCGCCGGCCACAUUAAGAUACCACAUGUGUUCCCAAGUGGUAUUGCAGCUGUCCCGAGGUCCAUCUCUUCUCCCUCUCAUACUGGGAACUCACUGGGAGGAAGUCUCGGCAGAUUCCUGCUCUGAUGGGCCUUCUCUCAUGCUAGUGUGGACUUCACGGGAUAGGGCAGACAGAGUAUUUGUUGCAUUUAUUUGUUCUAUCACUACAGAAGAAGCAUUUCAAAAUGUGUACAAAAGGAUACUCUAUUCCUCCAGUGGUACAUCCCUUGUUCACAGCUAAACAGCAAUAAUUUAACAUCAUCAUAGAGGCAGAUUGGAAAUAUGACUGCAUUUCUCAUUUACAAUCCUGUGCAUGUACUCGCCAGAAGGGCAGCUGAAGACCUAAAGCUGUACUGGAUACAACAGAUUCGACCUGAACAAUCACCACACACGACAUUAUAAAAAAGUGUAUUAGAAAGUAUUGGAAACAAUAUUGCAUAUUAAUAUGUGGUUACACAUGUUCACAGUGAGUGCCAUUGCACCAAAAGCAUUAUGUGCUUCUUUUUUCUGAUGCCUGUACAUCUUAAAUAAGUCUAAUAAUUUUGGUUCAUCUUAAAGUAAAAAUACAUUGAAAUGAAUGAGAGAGAUCUAGAUUUUAAAAGAGUUGACCAUUCAUUAUUGCUGGAACUGAAGAAAGGAAGGAUACACUGGUGUCAUGAUUUGUCUACGUAAGUCCAGUUCAUCUCGCGUUUGUUUUGGCAAGAAGAGGACGCUACAAAACUCACAGUGCAGUCAAAACAAAACAAAACAAAACAAGAAAAAAGCACAAAAAUUGGGGGGGUGGGAACCAUAUAACAACAAACCUACAUCUCAGGCAGCUCUUUCUCAAGGAAGAUUCUAAGAUUUUAUUAUGUGGCUAAUUCUAAAUUGGAAAUGGAACAUGCUGGUAUGUGAAGCAACUGGUGCUGGGACUUUACCCUUUGCUGAUAUGCAAUGAUAAUGUGAUGAUUUUUAGUGACUCUUGAAUUAGGAUAAUCACACUCGUUAGGUACAAAUUACAGAAGGAAUAUGGGGCAAGGAGCUGAGAUCCAGGCUUUCCACAUCUUGGGAAGCUGGGGUGUCAGAGAGGGGGAGGAACAAGAAACAGCAAUUACUAGCUGUAAUCAACAGGCCAACCUGUUAUGAGUUACCGUCCCGUCUCCAAUAUUUACUUCAAACACAAUGAGAGUGCAUGGAAUCUAGGCACACAGUAGUACACAGUAGUACCCAAGACACACACACACGCCAUCAUACAACAGAACAAACUACGCAACAAAAAGUGUGAAGUCAUGCAAACUCCUACUUUACCAGCUAGAAGAGAAACUUCAGCAACUUUUGGUACAUGAUAUGGUCACCUUUUAAACAUAAGUUAAUUACUUGCUGACAUAAUAUGAAACCUUACUUUAAAUACAAUAGUUUCAAAGAAAAAUGGUGUUACAAUAUAAAACCACAACAAAAGGUGUGCAAAGAGACAUUUAUAUUGGCUAUAAAAGGCAGUGAGAGGAAAGGGCAAAGCAGUUUAGAGAAGAAUUCCUGCAACCACUAUUUACAGUUCUAGUUUGAGCUUUGUUUGAAUUCCACUUGAAAAAAUAACUCCCUUCAACCAACUGACUCAGGGGGAUAGAUGGAAAAGAACAGAGUAGGUGAAAUUUGCAACAAACUGACUCCAAGGCUCUCACCUUACAGAUAUUAACUUGGAUAAGGCGCAUCUUUCUCUGUAAUUGCAUAUUGAAGGAGGACUGUCUAAAGCCCUUGGCUCCUCUCUCUCUCUUCCUUCACUCAGUGCAUUGUUGCGGCCAUUUUGUUUAUUCCAGUUUCCAAAUGCCACACCCUUCUGUGAGCAGAGAAAUCCAUGACUCAAGAAUGGUAUCUUUGUAAACUCCAUCCUUUCAACAAAACUCAAAUGUUUAUGAGGA